rnacentral:rRNA from 1 species
CGUAGGGUGCGAGCGUUAAUCGGAAUUACUGGGCGUAAAGUGUGCGCAGGUGGCUGAGCAAGUCGAGUGUGAAAUCCCCGGGCUUAACUUGGGAAUUGCGCUCGAAACUACUUGGCUCGAGUGUGGCAGAGGAAGGUGGAAUUCCAGGUGUAGCGGUGAAAUGCGUAGAGAUCUGGAGGAACACCGAUGGCGAAGGCAGCCUUCUGGGCCAACACUGACGCUCAUGCACGAAAGCGUGGGGAGCAAACAGGAUUAGAUACCCUGAUAGUCCACGCCCUAAACGAUGAUGACUAGUUGUUGGGGGAGUUAAAUCCCUUAGUAACGCAGCUAACGCGUGAAGUCAUCCGCCUGGGGAGUACGGUCGCAAGAUUA